rnacentral:lncRNA from 12 species
AUUUUCUUUCAGUGCCUUGCUCAGAGGUGCCUUUGAGAGCAGAACUGAUGUGUUUUCGUUAACUUCUGGUCUGAGGAGGUGAUGUCAAUGGCCACAGGGUUGCUUGCCAUCAUUUUACUCUGUGCUGUUGUGGCUGGAGCUUCAGGGGGAUCCUCAGAGAGGUUAAGUUAUGGAGCUUCCUGUUUUUCAGAAUGUGCAGGAUACAGUGCAUCAUACUUCCCCAAAAGAGCUAGAUACAGCUACAGGUAUUCAGCAGUCACCAACACAUUCCCUCAGGGAAAUAUUUACAAAAGCAGUGGCAUCUCUCUGGAGAGCACAGUGAUCAUUGAAGUAUUGGGAAAUUGC